CGUUUUCGUUUUGGUUUUAGUUUUAUUUCCGCCACCAUUAAUAAUAAGAUAGAGAAUAAAAGUUUAUCGUGGAAAGGUGUUUCGGGUGUGGCUCUCUCUACCUCCCCACUCCCGGGGCAGCGGCCGGGGAAGGGUGGGAUCAGUACCCCAGCUGGCUGGGAGUGUCAAGGUGAGCGUCCAGCGCGGUGCAGGGCUCCUGUCAGGAAGACACAAGGCGGAACUUGUGUCCCAUUCCUGGCCAGGUCCUCAAUCCUUCUCUCAGGAAAUCUUCACGUUUAAUAGCCAACCACUCUUGGAAUAGUGGGGGUGAUUUCGGUGAUGCGAGAGGGGCACGGUCCAAAUCCUGUCUCCUACAGCCAGGCCCAGCCACCAGAACUCAUCCCUCUCCAAGCAGUGACAGAAGGGGCAGGAGGCAAAAGGAUCCCGAUCUGCUGCUAAGGGGCGCAUAGAUCCGGCGCCCUCCUGUCCCCAAGCGCGACCGGCGGGAGGCCAAAUGCAUAGCUCCAGCUCUAGGUCUGAAGGACAAGUUCCUUUCUCCCUGGCGGUGGAAUCUCGCACCACUCUAUCCCAGGUGGCCUGGCCUCGUCUUUCUCCCAGCACCUGCAGCUUCAGGAAGUCUCUGUUAAACCACAGAAUGGUCAUUUCUCCUUCAUUUAAAUGAGGUUUUGCGCAGCCCUGAAUUAUUCACCCCUGAGAUUGAACAUCAACAAUUUCUCUGUUUCUACCCUGCACCAAAGCAGUUCUGAACUCCCCAACCUGUGCAGCUAACUGUGUCCGGGAGCCAUGCGGUGAGGGCCAAGAGGAGGAAACUCGUGGUUUUGAACAUGAACUGAUUUGAGGGGGUCAGGAUCUGAGAGCUCUGAGGUUGAGCCCAGUAAGCACCAAAGGCAUUGGGCUGAAUGUGCUAGACCAGGAAGAGGGCAUAGGGGAGAGAGUAGGAACAGCCGAGGUUUCUGAGACUCCCAGCGCUCCCCUGGAGGAGAGAACCCUCUUCCCCUCCCUCCUGCCCACCCCAAGGGUCUAGCUCUCCUUAGCCACCCAGAGUUGAGUAUGGCGCCAGCGCGGUGACAGUGGCUGAGGAGCACAUGGACCCUAUCAGCCCACCCUGGGGAGCCAUGGCUGCGGAGGCCCCGACCCCUUUGCCUCCGCUGUAGGGCCAGAGAGCAUCCCUGGCUCCUAAUCCACCUGUCUAAAUGUAUCUGUCAGGAGUGACUGGCUCAUAAUUCCUGGACUCUCUAGAGAGAGCACGCGGUGGGGCCACAGACAAGAAUUACUCCUGGAAAAAGAAAAAUCAGGUUUAAAAGAAGUGAACUCUUCCUCUCCGGCGGCAUGAACACAGUACAGUCUCUGGCUCUGGGAGGUCCUGGAGACCUGGAGGAGGUUUGAGGGUCAGUGCACUGGCAGGAGGGUGCGAGAGUGGGAGCAGGGGAAGCUAUGUAGAAGAUUAGGCCUGUCCAUGACAGCGUAGGUUUGGAGUAAGGAACAGGGAAAGGGAAUGGUUUGGAUUAAAGUGGGCACGCCUAAGCCAGGAGUUCCGCGAAGGCAGCGAAGAGAGGACUAAGCACGCACAGUAUGCUCGGGGCUCCGGGGGUGCGGGGAGUGGGGACGCACCCUGCCCAGUGCUCUCCAUUGCGGAAUCUGCUAGCUUCGUCGGGCGCGAGAUACCAAGAAAGGUUGAUUUCCAGACCUUGGAGUCUCUGAGAUAAAGGAACGCCACAUCCCUGCCUCAGUCCAGUGGAUACUCGUGAUCCGGAAAAGCAGCUAAAGCCGCUUCUUCCCCCCAGUAGGUGAGGAGUCAACAGGCACACUCUAAAGACGAGGAAAUAAAGCCGGUCGUGACACCGUGAGAGCUGGUUCGCCCAACUACCCUUUCAGGGGAACGUCCACCCCACCUCUGCUGCCGAGCUUGGAAAAGUGGCAAGGAGUCGCAGUCCAGGACAAAACUCCGCCCCCGUCCCCGUGAAGGCCGCCCGUGGCUGGGGGCUACUGUAGAGGGGGGAAAAUAAAAAAGCAGCUCGGGCUAAAAACGCACUUUAUGCAUCAGGUUAUAGUACCAAGCUCCACACGUACACAUGCCCGUAGUUUUGCAAAAAAGAUCCGCCACAUCAUACUUAAAAAUAAGAAGAAAAUUGACGAAAAGAGAAAUGAGGAGCUGCUAGCUGCAAAGAAACUAUGGGAAGAAGAGCUGAG
rnacentral:lncRNA from 1 species